rnacentral:lncRNA from 1 species
UGGCAGCCCAGCCUUGAGCAUCCACUCAACUCUGCACGCCACGGAAGAGAAGGCAGGCCAGGCCAGAUGAAGGCUAGGUGCUGGCUGGGGCCUCUGCAGGGGCCAAUGUGCUGGAGCCCUGGAGGCUGAGUGCCUGCUCCAGGCUGAGCCACCGCUGUGGGAACACAUGAAUGGAAGCACGCAUGGCAAACGCUGUGGAGGGAUCAGGAAGGCAUGGAAAGAAGCAUAUUCUGCAUCUUUCAUCCUUUCUUCCCUGGACACAUCUGUUCAGGCCAUGCAUAUCCCUAGUACCAAGCCAGCACUUGACCCAGAAGCACACACCCAUUGGAUGAAUGGAAUCACUCAGGCACAGGAUUCACUGACCCCUGCUAGCACUGGGCAUGAUGAACAAGACUGACCUGUUCUUCCAGACCUGCUGUCUGGCCCCAAGGAUGAUGGUCAAGGAAAGCCACUGAUGCUGCCAUCCUGGGCCAAAGUACCAGUAGCCGGGUCUCAGGCUCCUUGUGGCAGGGCUUAGAUGGUGGAUGCCUUCCCUCAAACCAGGAGCUUGCGGCCCGAUCCAGCCUUGGAUCAGGGAGCUGUGCUGAUGCUGCACUGAGCCCUGGAGAGCUAGAAUUUCAGAGCUGGGAGAAGCCCUGGAAACCAAGGCGUUUACCUUCUCAUUCUGGGGCUGGCAUCUCUGCCCAAGACCGGGAGCCUCUUGAUCUUUGCAUCUUUGUACCCACCUCUGCCAUCUUGUGCACUUCCCCAGGAAGUAAGCAUUUUUGUUUUUCAGAAACCUGGACCCCCACCAGAUGGAAAAUGCCCAUUGCAGUCAAGUAGACCUCAGAAGAGUGGUAACUAAGGACAGAACACUGAUCGCCGGUCUUUCUUCUCAAUUUCUUCCUGAGGGGCCUGGAGAGACUCAUACCUACAGGCCAGACCUUAACAUUCAUUUUGGCUGUCCCCAAGGUUUUAGACAAAGGCUUGCUCCUUAAUCAACUGCAUAUCACAGAAUCUCUGGAUCUACGUAUGACCUCAAAGCCUGCCCCACAAGAUAUCCUGCUUUUUUGGGCCAAACCAAUGUAUAACCUCCAUGUAUAGGUUUACGGUUUUGCCUGUAGCUUCUGCUUUCCUAAAAUGUACCCUUGCCUUUAAAAGCCCUUGCUUGUAGGGCCAUUGAGGAAGUGAGAUGUUAAGCAUGAGCUGCCUGACUCUCCUUGCUCAGCCUCCUGCAGAUAAACGCAGUCUUUUGUCUUGUUGUAAACUUCAGUGUUGGUGUUUGGCUUUAUGGCACAGGUUCAGCAGACCCAGGCUUGGUAAUAUGACCUUGGGUG